GCUGGCGGCAUGCCUAACACAUGCAAGUCGAACGGUAACAGGUCUUCGGAUGCUGACGAGUGGCGCACGGGUGAGUAACGCGUGGAUAUCUGCCUAUGAGUGGGGGAUAACUUUCGGAAACGAAAGCUAAUACCGCAUAAUCUCUACGGAGCAAAGCAGGGGACCUUUCGGGGCYUUGUGCUUAUAGAUGAGUCCGCGUCAGAUUAGCUAGUUGGUGGGGUAAGAGCCUACCAAGGCGAUGAUCUGUAGCUGGUUUGAGAGGAUGAUCAGUCACACUGGAACUGAGACACGGUCCAGACUCCUACGGGAGGCAGCAGUGGGGAAUUUUGCACAAUGGGCGCAAGCCUGAUGCAGCGAUGCCGCGUGUGGGAAGAAGGCCUUUGGGUUGUAAACCACUUUCAAUUGGGAAGAAGGGAUGAGUAUUAAUAAUACUCUGACUUGACGGUACCUUUAGAAGAAGCACCGGCUAAUUUCGUGCCAGCAGCCGCGGUAAUACGAAAGGUGCAAGCGUUGUUCGGAUUUACUGGGCGUAAAGAGAUCGUAGGUGGUUUGUUAAGUUAGAUGUGAAAUCCCGGGGCUCAACCUCGGAACUGCAUCUAAAACUGGCAGACUUGAGUUCGGGAGGGGUAAGCGGAAUUCCGUGUGUAGCAGUGAAAUGCGUAGAUAUACGGAGGAACACCUGAGGCGAAGGCGGCUUACUGGACCGAUACUGACACUGAGGAUCGAAAGCGUGGGUAGCAAACAGGAUUAGAUACCCUGGUAGUCCACGCCCUAAACGAUGUCAACUAGCCGUUGCGGGUAUCGACCCCUGCAGUGGCGCAGCUAACGCGAUAAGUUGACCGCCUGGGGAGUACGGUC
rnacentral:rRNA from 1 species